rnacentral:lncRNA from 1 species
CUUAGAAGUGUCAGACCAAUAAAUAAAUGCUUGUGAAGACCUACUAUGGGGAUAUUCCCAUUACCAUUGCUGCGUAACAAGCUGCAUGAGACUAUGUCUCAUUGGCUCUGUUGGUCAAGAAUUCAGGCAGAGUGUGGCUAGGUGAUUCUUCUACUCCUCCUGGAGUGACUGUAGUCACUCAGUGGGACUCUGCUGGUGGUUGGGCUGAUGUAGAGGAUCCAACCAGCUUCAUAUACAUUUGGUGUUAGGAGUAGCUAAAAGACUGAGCUCACAUGGAACUGGAGCAUCCAUGCAUGGUGUUUCCAGCCUGGUGGUCUCAGGGGAGUUGGAUUGUUUACAUAGGGGCCAGGAUCCUCCAGACCAUAUGUCUCAAGAAAAUUAGCAGAAGCUUCAUGACAUUUUUUAACCUAGCCUGGAAAGUCACACGACAAAACUUUAAGCAAUUUCUUGUUGGUUAAUGAGGGAGUCCUAAGGCCAGCCUAGAUUCAAGAAAAAGGAAAUUGGAUUCCAUUUCUUGGUGUGGGAAUAACAAAUUCACACUGUAGAAAGCUUGUGGGAAGGGAGAUAUUAUUAUAGUCAUAUAUAUAUGACUAUAUAUAUAUAUAUAUAUAUUUUUUUUUUUUUUAAUGGUGAAAAACUUUGUACUUAGAAUUAACCAGCUGGACUCAGUUUAGAUGAUCUCACUUUUUUUUUUUUUUUUUUUUUUUAGAUGAUCUCACUUUUGUUGGCAACAUCCAAAGCAUCAUAGUCAGGAGCUAGUUGAACAUAUGCCUUAUUCUCUUCAUCAGGCUUGACCAGGGUGUUAACCUUGACCAUAUCAAUGUCAUAGAGCUUCAACGCCUGUUUGAUCUGGUGCUUGUUGGUUUUGACAUCCACAACAAGUAGAAGUGUGUUGUUGUCUUCUGUCUUCUUCAUGGCUGACCCGGUGGUCAGGGGGCUUGAUGAUGGCAUAGGGGUCAAACUUGUUUCUCCUGAGGGUACCCUUCUGAGGAUAUUUGGGAUGUCUUCAGAGCCACAGUGUCUUGGGCACUCAGAAGGAACCUGGAAUUGCAACUGCUCCAGAACAGCUGUGACCCAGUGGAUACCUCCCUGGCCCCCACUGAUUCCCUGGAAGCUGGAGGUUAUGAUAACCAAGCAACUAAUCCCCAAUAGCAGUCUCCCCAGAUCUGGCCUGGAAGGGCUCAGUUAAUCAAUCAUUUGCCUGAAUGGGUGACAGAAAGGCUCAGCUCAGUAGGAUGGCAGUGGGGAGUUAAGGUUUCUAGAAUGGUGCUUUCGUCAUUCCUUUCCAGCCUGCCCUGUUGCCUUGACAACUGAAGACUGCCUCAUAGAUUCAUCAAAUAUACAGGGGCAUAUCUGAAGUGCAGGAGAACUACUUUGAUGGAGAUUUUUUCCCCUAACUUGCAACAGGCAGGUAGUACUUCCUGAAUUUUUUUCACUGGCGGUCCCGAAUGAGAUUUACAUGUCGAUCAAAUAGUAUUUAGGCUUUCUCGGGUAGUUAGAGGAAGGGCUAAUGCAGUGUUUCUCAAUCCCGGCUGCUUAUUAAAAUUCCUUGGAAUGCUUUUCAAACAUAUUAGAGCCCCAUGAGCAAGAAAUAUAAUUGGCUUUGGGUGGGACCCCUUAAUGAUUUUGUUUUUAAAGUUGCCCUAAUGACUAAUGUGUAUCCAGGGUUUUCAGUGGUGGUGCUGACAGCAUGAACUCAAAGUCAUUGUUGAAGAAGCACUUCUAGGUAUAUUUGUAUUUCUGUAUAUUUGCAUCUGAAUUCUGACUUCACCAUCUUCUAGCUGUUUGGCCGUGAGAAACCUCAGUGGUCUGUGCAUGCAAUGGAAUAACACUCAGCCUUAUAAAGGAAGGAAGCCCUGACCUUGCUGCAACUGGAACAGCCCUAAAAACCUUAUGUGAAGUGAGAUAAAGAACUCACAAAAGGAAAACUAUGGUAUGAGUCCACUUACAUGAAAUACCUAGAGUAGUUGAGGCUGGACCCUUUGUUCCUAGACCUGUUUUACUUAUUUAUUUAUUUAUUUAUUUAUUUAUUUAUUUGAGAGAGAGAGAGAGAGAGAGAGAGCAUGAGCAGGUGGGGGCAUAGAGGAAGAGGCAGAAGCAGGCUCCCUGCUGAGCCAGGAGCCUGACAUAGGACUUGAUUCCAGGACCCUGGGCUCAGGACCUGAGCCAAAGGCAGGCAGAUGUUUAACCCACUGAGUCACCCAUGCACCCCUUACACCUGUUUUAAAAGCAUAAGCAGAACUAUAGUUGUAUUAGCUGCCUCAUUAACUUAGCUCUGC